UUAUCACUGAUUAACCUAGGACUAUUUUGUUUUAAUUUGUUUAAAACUAUUUCUUUAUGAAUAUGAAUCAUUAUUAUUGUUCCCAGAAUAUACAACUGUCCGAAUAAGAAUAUUAUUGUAAUACUAAUUUUUUUUAUUGUUCAAAAUAUCUUUUGAGAAGGUGUAUUGAAAUAUACCAAUUUGGUAUUUCUCAUUACAAAAGAUUCUUGAACAGCCGUGAACUGGUCACACUAAAAGUGUUUCGCUCUCUGCUCUUUAAGCUCUCUUCCCUUUUGUAUUAUUGACAGAACGAACAAGUUGUAAAAUGAGCGGCAACCAAGCGGUCGUGGUGCUAAAUUGCCGCGUAUGCACCCAGGCAUGUAACUACUACAAAUCUCUGAAAUGUGAGAUCGAGAUUGGGCCAGAGAGCAGCACAACGGUGGCAAAGAUGCUCACCUUUUGCUUUGGCUUUUCGUAUGAGCCGCAAGAUGGCGCCGCAGCACGUUUGCCACAGCAAAUUUGCAUGGCUUGUUUGCCAUUGGCGAAGCAAGCAUACAUUUUAAAGCGCACGGCCAUCGAAGCCAACGAAGGGGCCUAGUUCCUCAACUGUAAAUUUAAACUGACUUGUGCUGAAAUAAUUGAAUGAACUCAUGCUAGUCCCUACACACAUACACUAAAAUACAGAGUUUUGUUUGUUAUUCCUUCGAUACGAAGAUGAAGAAAAUGGGACAAUUUUAAUGUGUAGUGGAGAGAUGAAGAACGAAAAAUAAUGGCGAAUUGUAACGCUACAGCAUUUUUUUUUAAUUUUAUUAAGAUGAAGAAAAUAAAAUGAUGAAUCCAAAAGUACAAAGCAUGUACAUACAUGUAUACUUUUGCACUUAUGAAUGUAUAGUUGAGAGAUAAAAACGAAAAAUAACGGCGAAUUACGGUGCUAGUGCAAAACAAAAUAAAUUGAAAUGGUUUCAUGCGUAUAUGUGCUUGGACGUACUUAAAUAUGAAUUAUCCACAAAACUACGGAAUUCUUUAAUAUGUAGAAAAUGGGUCAUGCACCAGUACCGCAGCAAGCUGAGGCUAGGCGGCCCAUAUGUAACCCAGCUACUCUAGGCGAUACUGGGGCUGCUGAGGGUGACCCUCGUGGAUCGGUGCGUGGACGACGAUUAAUUACCGAAAUUGUGCGAUCUCAUCCCAGUGGUCUGCUUACUAAAAUGGGUACUACAGGCAAACCAAUCACUGUUCAAACAAAUUACUUCAAAUUUCCCAAUUGGUCGCUUUAUCAGUACCGUGUUGAUUUCUCGCCCGAUGUUGAUAAUACAUUCCUACGUCAGUCGUUCAGGAGAGAAUAUAAGCAUUAAAAUAAGGAGCGUAGGUAUUGUUGAGGCAAUGGAUCCUCAGCAGUUACAAAUUCUUCUUAACUUGAUUUUGCGUCGUGCUAUGGAAGGCCUGCAACUUCAAAUAGUGUCUCGCAAUUAUUUCGACCCGCAAGCCAAGAUUGUAUUGGAUAGUAAGCAUCGAAUGGAAUUAUGGCCGGGGUAUAUAACUUCAAUUCGUCAACAUGAAUCUGAUUUUCUCUUAUGCACUGAAAUCGCAGUUACUGAAAUCAGUUAUGGACACGCUUAUGGAUACUGAGGCCUCUCUUGGUUGGGAAUGCCCUGAUGCAUUCGUCGCACUUGAAUGGCUCAAUUACUUUAUCGAUUGACUCUUCGCCCGAUAUGACCAUCUGAUCCCUCUUCGACCUCCUCGGUUUCGGCCUCGGCCUCAAUCUCUUCCUCCUCCACCUGGGAGGCCAUUGCUUCGGCCUCAUUGGCGUCGCUGCCGCCCAGCAGCUCGUUCAUACUGUUGAUUGGCGGAGACAGCGGAAGCACUGUUGCUGUUAUUAUUGUUGUGACUAUUGGCAUUGUUGUUGAGGCCCAAACGCAAAAGUUCGAUGGCCGUGCGCUUUAAAAUGUAUGCUUGCUUCGCCAAUGGCAAACAAGCCAUGCAAAUUUGCUGUGGCAAACGUGCUGCGGCGCCAUCUUGCGGCUCAUACGACAAGCCAAAGCAAAAGGUGAGCAUCUUUGCCACCGUUGUGCUGCUCUCUGGCCCAAUCUCGAUCUCACAUUUCAGCGAUUUGUAGUAUUUACAUGCCUGGGUGCAUACGCGGCAAUUUAGCACCACGACUUACUUACUUUACAACUUGUCCGUUCUCUGUCAAAAAUACAAAAUUGGUAUAUUUCAAUACACCUCCUCAAAAGAUAUUUUGAAGAAUAAAAAAAAUUAGUAUUACAAUAAUAUUCUUAUUCGGACAGUUGUAUAUUCUGGGAACAAUAAUGAUUCAUAUUCAUCUAGAAAUAGUUUUAAACAAAUUAAAACAAAAUAGUUCUAGGAUUAAGGGAAACCCAGUAAAACCUCAAAUCAUUGGUUAAUCAAUGAUAAUAUGUAAUAUGUUAGAAAUAUUCACAAAUAAAAGCACUGUGCUGUUUGGAGAACAGAAUAAGACUGACUAUUUCGUCAGUGCACAGUGGUUCCGCCAAUAUGGGAGUUGCGGCCAAAAAUACUUCUAGUUGUUAUAUUGCUACGAAAUUUUGCCCAAAAUUCUAUAAAAAUAUUUUGUAUAUAUAGUAAAAAAAUUGUCUAGAUCGGAAUACUAUAUCCUAUAGCUCCCAUACAACCUUAGUAUGGCUUAUAUGCCGAUAGUGCGCCAAAAUACUUCC